rnacentral:rRNA from 1 species
AGUGAACGCUGGCGGUAGGCCUAACACAUGCAAGUCGAACGGCAGCACAGUAAGAGCUUGCUCUUACGGGUGGCGAGUGGCGGACGGGUGAGGAAUACAUCGGAAUCUACUUUUUCGUGGGGGAUAACGUAGGGAAACUUACGCUAAUACCGCAUACGACCUACGGGUGAAAGCAGGGGAUCUUCGGACCUUGCGCGAUUGAAUGAGCCGAUGUCGGAUUAGCUAGUUGGCGGGGUAAAGGCCCACCAAGGCGACGAUCCGUAGCUGGUCUGAGAGGAUGAUCAGCGACACUGGAACUGAGACACGGUCCAGACUCCUACGGGAGGCAGCAGUGGGGAAUAUUGGACAAUGGGCGCAAGCCUGAUCCAGCCAUACCGCGUGGGUGAAGAAGGCCUUCGGGUUGUAAAGCCCUUUUGUUGGGAAAGAAAAGCAGCAGGUUAAUACCCCGCUGUUCUGACGGUACCCAAAGAAUGAGCACCGGCUAACUUCGUG